rnacentral:rRNA from 1 species
GAUGAACGCUGGCGGCGUGCCUAAUACAUGCAAGUCGAGCGAACGGACGAGAAGCUUGUUUCUCUGAUGUUAGCGGCGGACGGGUGAGUAAUACGUGGAUAACCUACCUAUAAGACUGGGAUAACUUCGGGAAACCGGAGCUAAUACCGGCUAAUAUUUUGAACCGCAUGGUUCAAAAGUGAAAGAAGGUCUUGCUGUCACUUAUAGAUGGAUCCGCGCUGCAUAAGCUAGUUGGUAAGGUAACGGCUUACCAAGGCAACGAUGCAUAGCCGGCCUGAGAGGGUGGUCGGCCACACUAGAACGGAGACACGGACCAGACUCCUACGGGAGGGAGCAAUAGGUAGUCUACCGCGAUCGGCGAAAGCCUGACGGAGCAACGCAGCGUGAGUGAGGAAGGUCUUCGGAUCGUAAGACACUUUUAUUAGGGAAGAACGUAUGUGUAAGUUACUGUGCACAUCUUAACGUAACCUAGUCAAAAAGCCACGGCUAACUACGUG